UUGACCUCGGAUCAGGUAGGGAUACCCGCUGAACUUAAGCAUAUCAAUAAGCGGAGGAAAAGAAACCAACAGGGAUUGCCCUAGUAACGGCGAGUGAAGCGGCAACAGCUCAAAUUUGAAAUCUGGCUCUUUCAGAGUCCGAGUUGUAAUUUGCAGAGGGCGCUUUGGCUUUGGCAGCGGUCCAAGUUCCUUGGAACAGGACGUCACAGAGGGUGAGAAUCCCGUACGUGGUCGCUAGCUAUUGCCGUGUAAAGCCCCUUCGACGAGUCGAGUUGUUUGGGAAUGCAGCUCUAAAUGGGAGGUAAAUUUCUUCUAAAGCUAAAUAUUGGCCAGAGACCGAUAGCGCACAAGUAGAGUGAUCGAAAGAUGAAAAGCACUUUGGAAAGAGAGUCAAACAGCACGUGAAAUUGUUGAAAGGGAAGCGCUUGCAGCCAGACUUGCUUGCAGUUGCUCAUCCGGGCUUUUGCCCGGUGCACUCUUCUGUAGGCAGGCCAGCAUCAGUUUGGGCGGUGGGAUAAAGGUCUCUGUCACGUACCUCUC
rnacentral:rRNA from 1 species